rnacentral:ncRNA from 2 species
AACGAUUGCUGGGGGAGCCGCGGCGAUGCGGCUGAGAGUGCGCGAUACAGGCGCAGACCCCUCGAACCUGUUGGGUAAUUCCAGCGUAGGGAAGCAGUCUGGCCGAGCG